UACGAAGGGGGCUAGCGUUGCUCGGAAUCACUGGGCGUAAAGCGCACGUAGGCGGAUCUUUAAGUCAGGGGUGAAAUCCUGGAGCUCAACUCCAGAACUGCCUUUGAUACUGAGGAUCUUGAGUCCGGGAGAGGUGAGUGGAACUCCGAGUGUAGAGGUGAAAUUCGUAGAUAUUCGGAAGAACACCAGCGGCGAAGGCGGCUCACUGGCCCGGUACUGACGCUGAGGUGCGAAAGCGUGGGGAGCAAACAGGG
rnacentral:rRNA from 1 species